CCCUUCUCUAAAUGCGUUGAAAAGUGUUGUCAGAUGAGGGGUGAGUUCUUCCCGGAAUUCUUUAUAGUAAUUCCCAUCGAACCCAUCCGGUCCCGGGGUUUUAUUUCCCUUAAGGGCUGUUAUGGCCUGUGCUACCUCCUCUUUUGUGAUUUCAGCUUCUAGAGCUUCCACUCCCUCCUGUGUUAGCUUGGGCAGCCCUAAAUCUGCUAGAAAUUGUUUCGUCAGUGCUUCUUCCUCUGUUUUCCGCGUCUCAGAUCCUGGUGAAUGGUUAUAUAGGGAUUUAUAGUAGUCCGUAAAGACUUCCGCUAUGUCCCGGGGGUUAGUUUUGAUUGAGCCGUCAUUGUGUCUGAUGGAUGUGAUGUGUCCCCCCCUUUGCCUAGGUUUCAGGACCCUAGCCAGAAGUGUAUCCAUUUUAUUUGCGUGCUCAUAGAAGGUCCGUUUGGACCAUGUGAUGGAUUUGGCGGUGUCGUCGAGGAGUAGCUAACGUAUCGCCAGCCGUAUCUCCCCCAGUCGUUUAGCGGUCGGGUCAGUCGGGUUGCUUUGGUGUUGUUGUUCAGCCCUCUUGAGGUCGGUCAGGAGGCCUUCUAGCUUUUGGAAUUUCAGUUUCUUUUUGGCUGUCACCAAUUUAAUAAGUGUUCCUCUAAUUACUGUCUUAUGGGCUGCCCACACUGUCGCUAGUGCCACGUCUGGGGUGAUGUUGGUUUCAAAAUAGCUGUUGAGCUCUGUUUUGAUUUGGGCUACAAUAUCCUGGUCUUUCAAUAAGGAGGCAUUGAGUCUCCAUGUCCAUGGGGUCGCCUCGCUCAAUUUCCCUAGUGUUAGUGAUAUAUCUGCAUGGUCCGACCAGGUGAUGGACCCAAUGUCUGAGCCAAUUAUUUGUGGCAGGCUCCUAUUAUUUAGCAGGAACAUGUCUAUCCUGGAAUAAGAUUUGUGGGGGGCUGAAAAGAAAGUGUAGUCCCUUGUGCUCGGAUGAUGUGCUCUCCACACGUCCACCAACCCCGCCCCGGCCAUAAAGCUCUGUAAUAGUUUGUCCUGGCUCCCCCUCCCUUGGGAUCUCUGAAUGCCGCUGCAUGCCCGCCUAUCUAUUGCCGGGCAGGGUGAUGCGUUCAAGUCUCCCCCAACAAUAAUCAUCCCGUGGUGUAUGGUUUGGAUUUUGGUCUGAAGCGCCUCCCAGAAAGCUGGCUCUGGGUGGUUUGGAGCGUAGACAUUAAUUAAGUGGAUAGGGUGGGAAAGUAUGGAGCCCGAUGCCAGGACGUAACGUCUCUCCGGGUCAGAUUCAGUAGACGUGAUUCGUAUGGGGCAGCUGUUCCGUAUUAGGAUCGCCACGCCAUUGCAUUUGCCCAGUAUCCUGGCCUCGUAUGCCGAGCUAUAGGUGUGGUUUUUUAAUGCAAAUUUUGCUUGUCUCUGUAAAUGCAUCUCUUGGACAAAAG